ensembl:lncRNA
ACACACACACAGCCACUGCAAACACACGCAUACCACACCUCUAAUACUACACACACACCCCUCAAAUACCACCUAAAUAUACCUCUCAAACACCACAUACACCCCACACACACCUCAACCACCACACACACACCUCAAACAUUAUAUACCCCUCAAACGCCACACACCUCAAAAGCCAACACACACCCCUCGAACCCCGCACACACCCCUCGAACCCCGCACACACCCCUCGAACCCCGCACACACCCCUCGAACCCCGCACACACCCCUCGAACGCCACACCCCCUUCGAACGCCACACACCCCUCGAACGCCACCCCCCCUCCAACGCCACACGCCCCCCUCCAACGCCACACCACCCCUCCAACGCCACACACCCCUCCAACGCCACACCCCCCUCCAACGCCACGCACCCCCCUCCAACGCCACACCCCCCCCCUCCAACGCCACACGCCCCCCUCCAACGCCACACCACCCCUCCAACGCCACACACCCCUCCAACGCCACACCCCCCUCCAACGCCACGCACCCCCCUCCAACGCCACGCACCCCCCUCCAACGCCACACGCCCCUCCAACGCCACACGCCCCCCUCCAACGCCACACCACCCCUCCAACGCCACACCCCCCUCCAACGCCACGCACCCCCCUCCAACGCCACACCCCCCCUCCAACGCCACGCACCCCCCUCCAACGCCACACGCCCCUCCAACGCCACACGCCCCCCUCCAACGCCACACCCCCCUCCAACGCCACACACCCCCCUCCAACGCCACACGCCCCCCUCCAACGCCACACACACCCCUCGAACGACAGACACCCCCCUCGAACGACACGCCCCCCUCCAACGCCACACACACCCCUCCAACGCCACACACACCCCUCCAAUGCCACACACCCCCCUCCAACGCCACACCCCCCUCCAACGCCACACCCCCCUCCAACGCCACACACCCCCCUCCAACGCCACACGCCCCCCCUCCAACGCCACACACACCCCUCGAACGACAGACACCCCCCUCGAACGACACGCCCCCCUCCAACGCCACACACACCCCUCCAAUGCCACACACACCCCUCCAAUGCCACACACACCCCUCCAAUGCCACACACACCCCUCGAACGACAGACACCCCCCUCGAACGACACGCCCCCCUCCAACGCCACACACACCCCUCCAACGCCACACACACCCCUCCAAUGCCACACACACCCCUCCAACGCCACACCCCCCUCCAACGCCACACGCCCCCCUCCAACGCCACACACACCCCUCGAACGACACGCCCCCCUCCAACGCCACACACACCCCUCCAAUGCCACACACACCCCUCCAAUGCCACACACACCCCUCGAACGACAGACACCCCCCUCGAACGACACGCCCCCCUCCAACGCCACACGCACCCCUCCAACGCCACACACACCCCUCGAACGACACGCCCCCCUCCAACGCCACACACACCCCUCCAAUGCCACACACACCCCUCGAACGACACGCCCCCCUCCAACGCCACACG